GAAGACACCUUGGGGUAAAGUAGCAGCACAUAAUGGUUUGUGAGUUUUGAAAUACAGGCCAUAUUGUGCUGCCUCAAAAAUACAAGGAUCUGAUCUUC
rnacentral:pre_miRNA from 1 species